UCGAGGAUAGGUAAAAGUUGUUUCUCAAGCUCUAUGGUUACUCCAUGGUGACCAGCACUUUUAAUCGUGUGAUGGCCGGCGACUAUUUUCCAUUUUGCCAUUGAUUCUUGCAAUGCCACAUCCACAUCCUAUAUAUUAAUUUGGAUUAGGUGCAUGUUAAUCACAUGUUUUUGAUAUUUUAAUUAGCUUAGGGUAGAGUAAUUAAUAAGAAAACAAAAUAGUUACCGUUAAGAGAUUGGUACGGUACUGUUUUCUUGGUAAUACUCCUCUCCAAUCAUAGACAUGGUCCUUUGGUUCAUCGAAAUAUUUAUCUACGAACGGUGUCGUGUCCACGAAGAAAAUAUCCACAAGUUCUAC
rnacentral:lncRNA from 1 species